AGCGAACGCUGGCGGCAGGCUUAACACAUGCAAGUCGAGCGCCCCGCCAGGGGAGCGGCAGACGGGAGAGUAACACGUGGGAACAUACCUUUUGGUUCGGAACAACUGAGGGAAACUUCAGCUAAUACCGGAUAAGCCCUUACGGGGAAAGAUUUAUCGCCGAAAGAUUGGCCCGCGUCUGAUUAGCUAGUUGGUGAGGUAACGGCUCACCAAGGCGACGAUCAGUAGCUGGUCUGAGAGGAUGAUCAGCCUCACUGGGACUGAGACACGGCCCAGACUCCUACGGGAGGCAGCAGUGGGGAAUAUUGGACAAUGGGGGCAACCCUGAUCCAGCCAUGCCGCGUGAGUGAUGAAGGCCUUAGGGUUGUAAAGCUCUUUUGCCCGGGAAGAUAAUGACGGUACCGGGAGAAUAAGCCCCGGCUAACUUCGUG
rnacentral:rRNA from 1 species